rnacentral:rRNA from 1 species
AACGAACGCUGGCGGCAGGCUUAACACAUGCAAGUCGAACGGGCGUAGCAAUACGUCAGUGGCGGACGGGUGAGUAACACGUGGGAAUAUGCCUUUCGGUUCGGAACAACUCGGGGAAACCCGGUGCUAAUUCCGGAUGCGCCCUUACGGGGAAAGGAUUUAUCGCCGAAAGAUUAGCCCGCGUUGGAUUAGCUAGUUGGUGAGGUAAAGGCUCACCAAGGCGACGAUCCAUAGCUGGUUUGAGAGAACGACCAGCCACACUGGGACUGAGACACGGCCCAGACUCCUACGGGAGGGCAGCAGUGGGGAAUCUUGGACAAUGGAGGAAACUCUGAUCCAGCCAUGCCGCGUGAGUGAUGAA